rnacentral:rRNA from 1 species
AGAGUUUGAUCCUGGCUCAGAUUGAACGCUGAUGCUUUACACUGCAAGUCGAACGGUAACAGGUUAAGCUGACGAGUGGCGAACGGGUGAGUAAUGCAUCGGAACGUGCCCGGUCGUGGGGGAUAACGCAGCGAAAGCUGCGCUAAUACCGCAUACGAUCUGAGGAUGAAAGCGGGGGACCAAGGCCUCGCGCGAUCGGAGCGGCCGAUGUCAGAUUAGGUAGUUGGUGGGGUAAAGGCUCACCAAGCCGACGAUCUGUAGCUGGUCUGAGAGGACGACCAGCCACACUGGGACUGCUCACCAAGCCGACGAUCUGUAGCUGGUCUGAGAGGACGACCAGCCACACUGGGACUGCUCACCAAGCCGACGAUCUGUAGCUGGUCUGAGAGGACGACCAGCCACACUGGGACUGAACACGGCCCAGACUCCCACGGGAGGCAGCAGUGGGGAAUUUUGGACAAUGGGCGCAAGCCUGAUCCAGCAAUGCCGCGUGCAGGAAGAAGGCCUUCGGGUUGUAAACUGCUUUUGUACGGAGCGAAAAGGCUCUCUCUAAUACAGGGGGUUCAUGACGGUACCGUAAGAAUAAGCACCGGCUAACUACGUGCCAGCAGCCGCGGUAAUACGUAGGGUGCGAGCGUUAAUCGGAAUUACUGGGCGUAAAGCGUGCGCAGGCGGUUUUGUAAGACAGGCGUGAAAUCCCCGGGCUCAACCUGGGAAUGGCGCUUGUGACUGCAAAGCUGGAGUGCGGCAGAGGGGGAUGGAAUUCCGCGUGUAGCAGUGAAAUGCGUAGAUAUGCGGAGGAACACCGAUGGCGAAAGGCAAUCCCCUGGGCCUGCACUGACGCUCAUGCACGAAAGCGUGGGGAGCAAACAGGAUUAGAUACCCUGGUAGUCCACGCCCUAAACGAUGUCAACUGGUUGUUGGGUAUUUACUUACUCAGUAACGAAGCUAACGCGUGAAGUUGACCGCCUGGGGAGUACGGCCGCAAGGUGAAACUCAAAGGAAUUGACGGGACCCGCACAAGCGGUGGAUGAUGUGGUUUAAUUCGAUGCACGCGAAA